CCUACGGGUGGCAGCAGUGAGGAAUAUUGGUCAAUGGACGCAAGUCUGAACCAGCCAUGCCGCGUGCAGGAAGACGGCUCUAUGAGUUGUAAACUGCUUUUGUACGAGGGUAAACUCAGAUACGCGUAUCUGUCUGAAAGUAUCGUACGAAUAAGGAUCGGCUAACUCCGUGCCAGCAGCCGCGGUAAUACGGAGGAUUCAAGCGUUAUCCGGAUUUAUUGGGUUUAAAGGGUGCGUAGGCGGUUGGAUAAGUUAGAGGUGAAAGUCCGAGGCUCAACUGCGGAAUUGCCGUUGAUACUGGUAGGCUAGAGAGUAGUAGCGGUAGGCGGAAUGUAUGGUGUAGCGGUGAAAUGCUUAGAGAUCACACAGAACACCGAUUGCGAAGGCAGCUUACCAAGCUACAUCUGACGUUGAGGCACGAAAGUGUGGGGAGCAAACAGGAUUAGAUACCCGGGUAGUC
rnacentral:rRNA from 1 species